GAUGAACGCUGGCGGCGUGCCUAAUACAUGCAAGUAGAACGCUGAAGCUUGGUGCUUGCACCGAGCGGAUGAGUUGCGAACGGGUGAGUAACGCGUAGGUAACCUGCCUGGUAGCGGGGGAUAACUAUUGGAAACGAUAGCUAAUACCGCAUAAUAGUAGAUGUUGCAUGACAUUUGCUUAAAAGGUGCAAUUGCAUCACUACCAGAUGGACCUGCGUUGUAUUAGCUAGUUGGUGAGGUAACGGCUCACCAAGGCAACGAUACAUAGCCGACCUGAGAGGGUGAUCGGCCACACUGGGACUGCGACACGGCCCAGACUCCUACGGGAGGCAGCAGUAGGGAAUCUUCGGCAAUGGACGGAAGUCUGACCGAGCAACGCCGCGUGAGUGAAGAAGGUUUUCGGAUCGUAAAGCUCUGUUGUAAGAGAAGAACGAGUGUGAGAGUGGAAAGUUCACACUGUGACGGUAUCUUACCAGAAAGGGACGGCUAACUACGUG
rnacentral:rRNA from 1 species